UAUAAAGACCAAGUAGGAUGAAACUGCGGACGGCUCAUUAUAACAGUAAUAGUUUCUUUGGUUAGUAAAGUACAAGGAUAGCUUUGUGAAUGAUAAAGAUAAUACUUGAGACGAUCCAAUUUGUAUUAGUACAAAGUGGCCAAUUUAUGUAAGUAAAUUGAGAAAUGACAUUCUAAGUGAGUUAGGAUGCCACGACAAUUGUAGAACACACAGUGUUUAACAAGUAACCAAUGAGAAUUUCUGAUCUAUCAAUCAGUUGGUAGUAUCGAGGACUACCAAGAUUAUAACGGAUAACGAGGAAUUGGGGUUCGACAUCGGAGAGGGAGCUUUACAGAUGGCUACCACUUCUAAGGAAGGCAGCAGGCGCGUAAAUUACCCACUUUCGAAUUGAAGAGGUAGUGACGACACAUAACUCUAGAGUUGAGUAAAAUCAAUUCUUGAAGGAAUGAGUAGGAGGUAAAUUCUCCUACGAAAUCAAUUGGAGGGCAAGUCUGGUGCCAGCAGCCGCGGUAAUU
rnacentral:rRNA from 2 species